AUGCCCACAUCAUGUUGAAACACUAGUUCCUAUACAAUCACUGAUGUUAAGUAAUGUCAAGCCUGGUCAGUACUUAGAUAGGCAACUGCUUGGGAAUACCAGGUGCUGUAAG